GAUGAACGCUGGCGGCGUGCCUAAUACAUGCAAGUCGAGCGAACAGAUGAGAAGCUUGCUUCUCUGAUGUUAGCGGCGGACGGGUGAGUAACACGUGGGUAACCUACCUAUAAGACUGGGAUAACUCCGGGAAACCGGGGCUAAUACCGGAUAAUAUUUCGAACCGCAUGGUUCAAUAGUGAAAGACGGUUUCGGCUGUCACUUAUAGAUGGAUCCGCGCCGUAUUAGCUAGUUGGUAAGGUAACGGCUUACCAAGGCGACGAUACGUAGCCGACCUGAGAGGGUGAUCGGCCACACUGGAACGGAGACACGGUCCAGACUCCUACGGGAGGCAGCAGUAGGGAAUCUUCCGUAAUGGGCGAAAGCCUGACGGAGCAACGCCGCGUGAGUGAUGAAGGUCUUCGGAUCGUAAAACUCUGUUGUUAGGGAAGAACAAAUUUGUUAGUAACUGAACAAGUCUUGACGGUACCUAACCAGAAAGCCACGGCUAACUACGUGCCAGCAGCCGCCGUAA
rnacentral:rRNA from 1 species